GAUGACAGCUGGCGGCGUGCCUAAUACUUGCAAGUCGAGCGAAGCGGGGACGGGUGAGUAAAAAGUGGAUAACCUCAUAUAAGACUGGGAUAACUUCGGGACACCGGAGCUAAACCGGAUAAUUAUAGAUGGAUCCGCGCCUCAUUAGCUAGUUGGUAAGGGACUGGCUUACCAAGGCAACGAGGCGGAGCCGACCUGAGAGGGUGAUCGUCCAGACUGGAGUGUAGUCCCGGGCCAGACUCCUACGAGAGGCAGCAGUAGGGAAUCUUCCGCAAGGGGCGAAAGCCUGACGGAGCAACGCCGCGUGAGUGAUGAAGGUCUUCGGAUCGUAAAACUCUGUUAUUAGGGAAGCUGUACCUAAUCAGAAAGCCACGGCUCACUACGUGCCAGCAGCCGCGGUAAUAC
rnacentral:rRNA from 1 species